AGCGUCAGUCUUUAUAUCUCUUGCUUGACUCUUACUAGUAAAUUGUUUGACAUGUAUCAUAUAAAUUGCCGUACAAUGCAAAUACAUGUAGUACAUUUACUUUUCACACAGAUCAUUGCAGACCUGUUGGAACAAAGUGUACAGGAUCAGAAUCUCUCAGAAGACAAGGUUGAUAUUGAGGUUGUAGCUGAGCUGAAAAACAGUGUGGGCACACAGACAAAGUCCUCAGGCAGACACAGAGGUAAAGAUGGUGUGAUGCUCAAGUGUUUUGUAACACAGUUACUGUAAAAUGUUUCAUGCAUUACAGCUGUAUCAAGAGUUUUGCAACAUUCCUUUCCAUUGUACAUCUUUUUCAAAAGUUUAUCUGUAUACAAUCAGCAUUAAGGCACAUAUUAUUUCCACUUAUGACAAUGAUGGUUUUGUUUUGAAAUAGACAUUUUAUACAAUUAUGUAUGUAAUUUUGAAAUACUAUGAAGAAUUGACAGUGCUAAUAUUUCAAAGUCAUUUUGCUUGUUA